rnacentral:snRNA from 1 species
AUAUUUACCUACUGCCCAGACUAUCCUGAUCAAAAAGGGGGUGCCCCGGAAGAGGCGCGGCCAUCGCACCACGGCCGUACUGAAGCCUGCCAUUUUCCCAAACUGGUGAUAGAUGGGGCAUGCAAUUUUCGGUAGUGGAGGACUGGCUAUCCCCCU